rnacentral:tRNA from 1 species
CCUUCGAUAGCUCAGUUGGUAGAGCGGUGGACUGUAGUGGUCAAUAAACAAAUUCAGAUAUCCAUAGGUCGCUGGUUUCAAAUCCGGCUCGAAGGA